AUUGAACGCUGGCGGCAGGCCUAACACAUGCAAGUCGAACGAGUGGCGGACGGGUGAGUAAUGCCUGGGAAUCUGGCUGAUGGAGGGGGAUAACUACUGGAAACUGUAGCUAAUACCGCGUACCAUAGGAUGUGCCCAGGUGGGAUUAGGUAGUUGGUGGGGUAAAGGCUCACCAAGCCGACGAUCUCUAGCUGGUCUGAGAGGAUGACCAGCCACACGGGGACUGGGACAAGGCCCAGACUCCCACGGGGGGGAGGAGUGGGGAAAAAGGCGAAAAGGGGGGAAACCUGACGCAGCCCUGCCGCGUUGUAUAAGAAGGCCUUCGGGGUGUAAAGGUCUUUCGAGAGAGAGGCGUUACCCACAGAAGAAGCACCGGCUAACUCCGUGCCAGCAGCCGCGGUAAUUC
rnacentral:rRNA from 1 species